GUCCCUGUAGCGUAAUGGAUAGCGCGCUGGACUUCUAAUCCAAAGGUCGAGGGUUCGAAUCCCACCUGGGAUG
rnacentral:tRNA from 1 species